rnacentral:rRNA from 1 species
GAUGAACGCUAGCGAUAGGCCUAACACAUGCAAGUCGAGGGGCAGCACGGGAGUAGCAAUACAACUGGUGGCGACCGGCGCACGGGUGAGUAACGCGUAUGUAAUCUACCUACAACAGGGGGAUAACCCGGAGAAAUCCGGACUAAUACCGCAUAAAACAGGGGUCCCGCCUGGAACUAUUUGUUAAAGAUUUAUCGGUUGUAGAUGAGCAUGCGUUCCAUUAGAUAGUUGGUAAGGUAACGGCUUACCAAGUCAGCGAUGGAUAGGGGAACUGAGAGGUUUGUCCCCCACACUGGAACUGAGACACGGACCAGACUCCUACGGGAGGCAGCAGUGAGGAAUAUUGGUCAAUGGGCGAGAGCCUGAACCAGCCAAAUCGCGUGAAGGAAGACUGCCUUAUGGGUUGUAAACUUCUUUUACAGGGGAAUAAAAAGACAUACGAGUAUGUCAUUGCAUGUACCCUGUGAAUAAGCAUCGGCUAACUCCGUGCCAGCAGCCGCCGUAA